rnacentral:lncRNA from 1 species
GGAAGUCUGAGAUAGAGUACUAUGCUAUGUUGGCAAAGAUUGGAGUCCACCACUACAAUGGAAGUGAGUUUUCUUGUCUAUGUGCUCGUAGUUGUCUAAAUGCUGCCUUUAAUGCCUCCUUCUGUCCUUCCUCUGUAUGGAUGUUAUGAAGUAAUUUGCUUCGUCUAUGUGCUCUUAGAAUGUCUAAAUACUGCCUUUAAUGCCUCCUUUAUAUGGUGUUAUGAAGUAAUUUGCUUCUGUUUGUAUGUUUCCAUGUUAAUUAGAAGUGUCAUUUUAUUUAUAGUUUUGGUUGAAUGUCUCUUAUGUUUGGUCAAGUCAUGGAAAAUGUUACACUCGUAUUUCUCUUUUAACAUUGGUUAGCUUAUCAAAGGCCUUAUAAUGUUAUCAUAUUUGGAGUGCAUACGUCCAAAGUUUUGUUGUUGGAUGGAUUGAAUGGUAUUAAGUCUAAGAUUGAACAAUCAGGAGAUACAAUGCAACAAAAAGAAAAAGCCUCGAUAGAUGAGAUGCGUUAUGGGUAAAUGUUACUUGUUUGUUGGGUAUAAGAUUGACUAACCAAUCUAUAAAUCAAAAUAGUGUCUGGAAUAUUACUCUAAGCUUAGUGUCUUGCAUAUGAAUAUCUGUGUUUUCUGUGGUCACUUCUCUCGUCUUAAAUGUGUUGGUUUAUUCUUAUAGCUUGAAAUUCAAUCUAUUAAAGAAGAAUAACAAUAGGAACUGCGUUUUUUUCCAGGUUUCAUAGAGGGCUAACACCUCUCUCAAUAGAAAUCUGCAAGUUGUUUGUGGAGUAUUUUUAGCAUAUUGUUCUUUGCAAG